UAUUGUUUGAGGCAUCCUGCCUUCCUGAGUCCGUGCUCACCAUGCCAAGACUUAUUAAAUGGGUAUUUCUUGGAUGAUGGCUUUUCCUGGAUUGUGUGGUUGGCUGGUGCACACAGAUAAGACAAAGUAGCCAUCACGAGUGUUUUGGAGACAGAGAGCCAGGCAGCCCCUGAAGCAGGACAGCAGACCAAGGAGGGUGCAGACUGGGAGAUGUCUGUGCCCUGGGGUGCCUGGAGAGAUGCACCUAGAGGAAACUUUGCAGACCAACUGAAAAAGAGGUGACAACUAUCUACAGACUCAUUACAGAUCAAAGGCCAUAUACAAUUAAUUGCUGUUGCAGUAAUGAACUUCUACAUGGAUUUAUAAUUAAUUGCUUAAAUCUUGAUUUAACUGCUGAGUGAUAUUUAGAACUUACGAGCUACAAUUAAUUUUGGAUGUCUGUAAGACUGUAGCACACAUUUUGUUCUUUUUAUUUAUUUAUUCAUUUAUUUCUCCCUUCUGAAAUAUUAAAAAACAUUGUCAAAUUGUGAAAAAUUCCCCCCAAAAUAAAGUUGAGUGAUUGGUAGGCA
rnacentral:lncRNA from 1 species